AUAUCUACCCCUUCUCCCACUGUAUCCCUGCACAUUGAUGAUUCUGGUUCUGACCUUGUAUAUAUUGUGUACAUUGUCUAUCACAGUACGAGUCAUAAUACCCAUAAACCUAGCGGUCAAACGCGGAAAUGGUGCCAAUCGAUUUUCCAGCAUUCAUUUCUUCCAUUGGGGAAUUUAGAGACACUUAAAAUAAGGGCUGUGUUUCGUGUAGGCUUAGCCUGGCGUGAUGUUUUGAUAACUGUGUAAAUGUCUCUCGGACAAGGUGAUUUUAAUCAACAUAUUUUCUUCUAUUUACCCCCCCAAAAUUAAAUGCUAAUGUGGCUAUCAUAAAGAACAACAAAUGUCUGUCUCAAGCUUCCCGUCACUCCUCAGAGCCAUGAUGAUCUGGACGAGACUGCCGAAUCGAGGCAAAGGUAUAAUUAAGGGGGAAUUGAUAAAUAACAUGUGUGCCACUCAAGUUGAAGUUGUUGACUGAUGCCAUGGCGACGGCUGCUAAGUAGAAGGGAGCUUCUGCAAACCAGAAGUCUGCAGUCAAGGCAGCACUGGUCCAUACCUGCCUUGUGUCUGAUGCAUUCAAGCAGCACUUUGAGAGAAAGCAUCCCACGUCUCCAACGGUCCCAGUACUGGUUGAUGUUCAGGCCUAAGGGACACCACACACUCAAAUGGGCCUACAACCAGGACACACCAUGAUGACCACGAUUUCAAUGAUGCAACUGAGACGGAAUGACGUGAGGGACCCUGAGUAUGACUGGACAUGGACUGGAUAUUUGUGACAUCGACCUAGAAGGGGUGCAGAAACAUUUUAUGUUUAAACCAUAGCUAAGCAUCUCUCUAGGUACCCCUUAUUCCGCACUGUCUUUUAUAGUCCCUCAACUUUGGACACUUUGGAACUCUCCAUCUUAGCUCUGUAAACCCUCCUUACCUUCACCCAUUUUCCAUAUGCUGCUUCCUUCACUUGUUCUUCUCCUGAUUGGAUAACAUCUACACUCAGGAACGCAUUUAAAAAUGUUGUGUUAUACUGUUCUUGCUACCUUUUUUUCACCUGUGUAAUGCAGUCCUUUUACAUUAAACCUACCUUACACAUCCA